CCUACGGGAGGCUGCAGUGGGGAAUAUUGCACAAUGGGGGAAACCCUGAUGCAGCGACGCCGCGUGAGGGAAGAAGUAUUUCGGUACGUAAAGCUCUAUCAGCAGGGAAGAAAAUGACGGUACCUGACUAAGAAGCCCCGGCUAACUACGUGCCAGCAGCCGCGGUAAUACGUAGGGGGCAAGCGUUAUCCGGAUUUACUGGGUGUAAAGGGAGCGUAGACGGCAGCGCAAGUCUGGAGUGAAAUCCCAUGGCUUAACCAUGGAACUGCUUUGGAAACUGUGCAGCUAGAGUGCAGGAGAGGUAAGCGGAAUUCCUAGUGUAGCGGUGAAAUGCGUAGAUAUUAGGAGGAACACCAGUGGCGAAGGCGGCUUACUGGACUGUAACUGACGUUGAGGCUCGAAAGCGUGGGGAGCAAACAGGAUUAGAUACCCCGGUAGUC
rnacentral:rRNA from 1 species